GGAGGACUUACUGACUUUGAGGGGGUUGAAAAAUUUGUCAAACUUAUACAACCUGACAGUUCUGGUAAGAAAAUGGACUUGGCUGAUCGAGUGAUGCUUGCUGAUGUUAUAGCAGUCACUGAUAGGUUUGAUUGUUUAGGAUGGUUUUUGCAGCUCAGGGGUUUGCCUGUAUUAGAUGAAUGGCUUCAAGAAGUUCACAAGGGAAAAAUUUGUGAUGGUAAUG
rnacentral:misc_RNA from 1 species